CGACGUAGUUGAUCAGUGGCUCGAGGACACGCUGGCGGCGUGCCUAACACAUGCAAGUCGAACGAGAAUCUGUGGAUAGAGACUUCGGAUGGGCGAAGAAUUAGCUUAGUGGCGAACGGGUGAGUAACGCGUGGGUAACCUGCCUUUUAGAGGGGGACAACAGUUGGAAACGACUGCUAAUACCGCAUAAGACCACAGUACCGCAUGGUACAGUGAUCAAAGGAGCAAUCCGCUAAAAGAUGGGCCCGCGUCUGAUUAGAUAGUUGGUGGGGUAACGGCCUACCAAGUCGACGAUCAGUAGCCGGACUGAGAGGUUGAACGGCCACAUUGGGACUGAGAUACGGCCCAGACUCCUACGGGAGGCAGCAGUGGGGAAUAUUGGGCAAUGGGGGAAACCCUGACCCAGCAACGCCGCGUGAAGGAAGAAGGCCUUCGGGUUGUAAACUUCUUUUAGCAGGGACGAAGAACGUGACGGUACCUGCAGAAAAGCAACGGCUAACUACGUG
rnacentral:rRNA from 1 species